CAAGGGGGAUCUAUAAACGUAUGCCUGUGGAAAACAGCAAGAGGACAAAGGACCCUUUCUAGUUAAAGCAAACUGCCCUGAGCUAUAGUUAUUUUACACAGAGAUGCAUUGGUCAGAGACAUUUUAAAGUCACAGCAUCCUAGCUGCCUUUCUGAUUGACCAGAACUAUUUGGAAAAUACGAAACUGGGCAUGAGACUGAGACUCUGAAGCAACCGAAAAACUCAGUGCCCCAUUCUUCCAAAUGAUGUUGAGAUGCGCUUAGUAAGUCCUGCUUUUGAGAUCGGUAGUUGGAAAGCAGCACAGCACGUCGACAGCCCAGUUCAUAUUCAUGACUUGCACUGGUGUGCCAUUCUGGACAGGCCCCUGCCUGGCACCCACACACUCCUGCUACAGCUGCUACAGACUGGGCCAUAAAAGACUUAAAAUAACUUGAAGAAUUGUCAAUUACAUUCAACUGUCAAGUUCUGCAACCGAGCCAUUCAUCAUGGAACUGACUUAGUCCAUUUUUGGCUUGCAGGGAGAUUCAAUCACAUCUUUCUAAAGUGUAAAAGUGUCCAACUAUAGUCGUCCAGCACU